rnacentral:lncRNA from 1 species
AGAGAGAGAGAGAGAGAGAGAGAUAGAGAGAGAAAGAGAGAGAGACAGACAGAGGAAACGGGGUUCAUACAUAUAAGAAAAAGGAAGAUUGCAGAGAAAGGGAGAGAGAAGAACUAUGGAUUACAUGUCGUAGAAGAAAGAGAAGAAGAAGAAGAAGAAGAAGAAGAAGAAGAAGAAGAAGAAGAAAAGCAAAGGAGAUGGUGGUGUUUAACAACCACGUGUGUAUUUAGGAUAUCCAUAUUUUAAUUAUAUAUUUUAUUUUGUCACUGCUGGUGACAGGGGAAAUUACAAAAGCUUGCCAGUAGUGACAACUAAUUCAA